GAAAUGCGAUAAGUAGUGUGAAUUGCAGAAUUCAGUGAAUCAUCGAGUCUUUGAACGCACAUUGCGCCCCCUGGCAUUCCGGGGGGCAUGCCUGUCCGAGCGUCAUUGCUGCCCUUCAAGCCCGGCUUGUGUGUUGGGUCGUCGUCCCCUCCGGGGGACGGGCCCGAAAGGCAGCGGCGGCACCGCGUCCGGUCCUCGAGCGUAUGGGGCUUUGUCACCCGCUCGAUAAGGACCGGCCGGGCGCCAGCCGGCGUCUCCAACCCUUUUUUCUCAGGUUGACCUCGGAUCAGGUAGGGAUACCCGCUGAACUUAAGC
rnacentral:misc_RNA from 1 species